rnacentral:tRNA from 1 species
GCUGGAGUAGCUUAACGGUAGAGCGCAACACUGGGUUAUAAAAAAAUAGAUGAAUGCAAUAAUGAUUAUCGUUGAUGUAAGGGUUCGACUCCCUUCUCCAGCC